AUCCGUCCCCACCAAUGCCAAAACCAAAUCUACACCCUUGGUAAAAUGUCACGUCAAGACAUCGUUGGCCUUUUUCACAUGUGACAUACAGCUUGUCUGCUUCAGAUUUGGGCUCACUAAUGAAAAUUCUCUUUUAGACUCAGCUGGACAUUUGAAUGUCGAGUUCUUUAGCAGCCUUUGUUAAAGGUUUUGACUGUCAGGUUCUGAUUUUUGUUAAAAUUUUAAAAUAAAAAGCUGUUUGAAUCAUUAUUCCAUCACUGUAAACCGAAACAUGAAAAUCUAAAAUAUUCCACACAGCUUUCUGUGAACCUGUAACCUCAUCUGAGGCGCCUACAUGGAACAACAAAUCUUGGAGGUCCUGAGCUCCAUCCCUGUGGUAUAGCCGCUGCCACAUGGAUGUAACUCUAGAAGACUUAGUAUUAAUGACCAGUGUCCAUGGCCUUCUUGUAAUCCACUUACUGUCGUCACACAGGGUCGGCAUGGCUACUGCUGCAGGGCUCUCAUACCCUAGCUGGACACGGUGCUACAUUCCAUUUGAGUGGUGUAUUGCUGGAAGAUGGAGAACCACUGUUUUGCUACUUAAAUUUAUAUUUGGUUCUACAAACUUGUUCAAAAGAGGACGCUGCUAGAAACCCAACAGAAUAAAACAGACUACUAAAAGAAUGCUUCAUUGCAAAGAAAGUGGACACACUUGGAAAGCAGGCAACACUGCAACCAAUUUGUAGCAAACACAAGAUAGUUCCUGACCCAAAGAGCACUCUAACCUUAAAGAUUACAUUUCCAAAUCAGUGCAAUUAAAACUGCUUUAACAGAGGCCAGUAAGACUUGGGGGAGGACCACAGCAAACGUUUAAGAAAAUACAGGUGGACAGCUCUAACAUAGAAAGUGUCUUGGUCCCUUGACCCUUCUAUCGCGCCACAUGUGUAGCAUGAUUUCUUCAUCUGCAAGAACCCUCAUGAUGAACUUUUACCCCUUAUUCUAAUUUUCAAACAUGCGCAGAGUUAAUUUAGCCUGCACAGCUCCAUCAUCAGUGUAUACAUACACUGCCCUGUGUUAAUGAAUGGCCGACUGCACAAUGACUGAGACAUGCUGUUAUGAUUUCCACACAUUCUCAUCAGGGUGAAAAUGCAUUUUCAUGCCAAAAGAGAAUGAAGAGCAUCCCCUGUUCACUUCUCACUCUCCACCCUCAGGUUCCUAAAGCACUGUGACUGAGAAAUACGUCUAACGGUAGCAUGCCCCAAAGACCCUUUGCCCACAGACAUGAGGUAAUGGUGAGGCUAAUUAGGCUGAGGAGACAGUGUUGGCGGAAGCUCCUGGCCUGAAGCCCCAUUAGUCUAGAGUACAGUCUCCCAAUGGUCAAGGGCAUUUACUCUGGGAUGAGGAAAGCAGAGCAGCGUCCCAGGCUGGCUCCUAUGGUAAAGCCACGGUGAUGGACUGAGUCACCACAUGAAAGACUGGGCACAGGGACGAUAGUGGAACGAAAGAGAAAAAGGAGACCCAGAGAGAAAGGCUCAUUCAGGAAAAAGAUGGAGAAUCUCAGCGGGACUCCUCUUCCUUCUUACGCACAAGGCAUUCUUCUGAUGCUCAUGAUGUACAGUUUGUUAUGUUACAGAGGCAGGACGUAUCUCAUUGAGCCCCAUUUAGGAUAUUGGCCUCAACACAGUCAUUUUAAGGCAGUAAAUCAAAAUGAUUGCAGCACAUAUUGUAAAGCGAGGCAGAGGCAUUUUGCUUUAACAGUUCCAGAAUCAGGGACAUUCAGGGAACCUCUGUGACACAUCGCUGGGCUCGGGAUGGGCUUUCUGACUUUUGCAAUGUUUCUCCUCCUUCUUGCACUGGUCAUAAUCUGCUAAACAGUGGGUUCAGUUAAUGCAUGGAUUUAUGGACAUGAAAAUAAAUAUAUCAAGCACAUCAAAAGAUUUGUGAGAUUUUACUGCAGUGCAACAGAGCAAUAUUAAUCUUAGGGAUUUAAAGAAAAAGCGGAAUUUUGCUUCUUAUAAAUCCUCAGAUUCAUUACAAGUUCUGUUUAAAUGAGGAAUAGAGAGGGAGCAAGUGCCUGUUCAUGCCUGAGCUGGUGAAGGCACUGCUUGGCCUUUUACUCACAUGGCAGCUCACUUCUCAAGGAAUAUCAAAGAAAGAUGAUUAAAGAGAAUGAAAAAGAUUAGUUACCUUAAAUCAGUCAGGGGCUACAGGCGGACUUUUAUGACUUUUAUAUGAAGAUUUAUGAACUCAACUCAUUCUUUGCUACUACUUACAGAACUGCACGGCCACUUACUUUUUUAUUUCUUCAUCAUAUACGUAGACCUGUAUGUAUAUACAUAGUAUUUUUCAGUAUUACAUCAUCGCUCUUCUAAAGUACCUUGGCAUAUGUGGCUGUUUCUCCUCCCUUUGUUAUCCACUUUCAUAGGAAACCUAAUCUGUGAACACAUGUUUCUGGCCUCCAGAGCUGGAAGUGAAUAAAGCACAGCAUCUGGGCAGAUUCCACCUCCUCAUCACUCUGAAAAUGGUGUGGGCUCCUUUAGGUUCAUGCUAACUGCAUCGAGGAACCAGGAAGCAAAACAGUAUGUCAGUCACUACCUCUCAUGACACAGCAUCAAGGAGCUCAUCGUUUGUUACUGACAAAUGUCUCGGGGGUGUGGGGAGCAACUUUCCUUUCUAGGGGAACUGUAGUGCUAUCAAAACAUUGCUUGUCAGCUUCAAGUCAGGCAGAGUCAAAUAAACAUUUUGGGAAAAAAUGGAGCAGAUGAGAUAGUAGGUGAAUAAAGACAUGAACUGGAGUAUGCCGAGUAAAACCAUGUUAUGCAACAAGACCUUAGAUAAAAGCUAGGUAACAGCUAGGCUGCUUCACGUCUGUGACAGUCUCUACCCUAGAGAUGGUUGCUAAAAUGAUGUAGAGCACUGGAGCGCUUUUCAUAUUACAUAUCACAGUUUAGUAUUUGUACCCUGGACAACUCGGGGUGACAAACAUAGCUCACUGAACUCGAUAGCUUUUGGAGAGAAAAACUUUGCUUAUUUGACCAUUCGUUCACUGAGACUGUGUUUAGCCUGGGGAGCAUGGAGGGUUAGUGUCAUAUUACUGUAUGUAAAAGCAGACUUAGAGUAUAUAUGUUUCUCUGUUAUCCUAAUUAGGAAGAAGAAGUAAGUGGAAGACAUUUAAAAGAAGCAAUGUGUGGACUAACUACUUCCUCCCUUUGGCCUGAUGAGCACUGUGGAAAAGAGGAAACAUUAAGGCUAGGGAACCUGAUUUGGAUCUGUGAGGGAUUUCUUUGGAACAUCAUCAAGCGGAGGCCUGCUGAAUCCUCCAGUGCAUUGCAAGCUGAACUUCUCAAGAGCCCCCCUUUACCACCCCCACUGACUCCACCCUUUCACAACCUUGGUUCUCAAAGGUCCAGUCACAUCUGAGUUAGUAAUUUGGCACACAUCUAUAGCUGGACGCUGGGGUGUAAAUAGAUUACACUUGCCUGGAGUUUUCCUGAAUGAAAUAUGAAUGGAUUUUUUCCUGAGACUUAUAUUCUAGCAAACAAAGAAUAUAGCUGGAAUUUAGCUAAAUAAGUCCACUUGAUUUUAAAGACAUAAAGGGCAAUCAGCUCAUCCCAGAAUUGAGAAGAAAGCAAAAUCUGAAGCUACAAGACUUGUAGCAAUGUUGAUAAUAGAGUCAGACUAAGUGGCUAGUUGUGUUGGAAAUCAAUAUCCCAGAUCUUAACGCUAUGUUAAUCUAUGAUCAAAGCUUACCAAGAAAAGUGCUGGUUUAAAAAUGAGUAAGAGAGGCCUGGAGUGAGUGACUCAAAUGAACAAUCAACUCCUAAUAGUCAUAAAAUCAGAUCCAGCUACUUAAGUUAAAAUCCUGGUAGUGUACUUUGAUAAAGCUUUUUUAUGCUAGUAAAAAUAAGGACUCCACUCUAAUAAAACAUAGUUGUCAAUAGUUUCCUCUACCUGACAUCCAAGAGUGUCCAGUUUUGGAACUUCAAAUGAUAAAGAUGCAAUGCUUUUGAAUGGACAUUACAACACCAAAAAACACAACUGUGUGUGCUCUGUAAGAAAAAAAAAACUAGACUGGAGUGAUGAGAUCAAAACACUAGAUUGAAAAAAGAGAUUCUAGUGAAAGAAGCUAUCAGAGAGAUGGUUCCAGCUAAGAUAAUGUUAAAGUCACAAUAAUUGUAUAUUAAAUGUAUUUAAUAAAAAAAAAACUACUAGCGGAUAUUGGAAAAUAUAUUAAUUACUUUUAAAAUAAACUACACUUAUUGCCCUUUCUCAAAAGUGUACCUGACAGUGCUUUGCUUGGAAUAACAGUCAUGGAAGAGUUUAGAUGUACAAAAGUCUAGUAGGACAGAAGGUAAGCAUGUUUUCCUUUCUCCUCUUUUCCCUGGUGCUGUGCUCUAUUACAGACAAACACAUGUAAGUUGUCCACAAAGAAGAAAUACAUCAAUCCCUUUGGUUUCUAAUGGUCUAAUGUCAGAAAACCACUAAAGAUGGAGUCCUGGUUGGCCGGAUUACUGAUGUGCUGGCAGGACUGCUGGUGCUACGAUGGUCCAAACUUGUUCCACAUUCUGGUUUGCACCAAGGAGCUCCAAGUUGUGGCCAUGGUUGUGUGACCCAGACUGAGACCCUGAUCAAUUUCCAAGUCUUAGAUUCUGGAAAGAAGCCUGCAGCCACAACCCGAUCACAUCUGGUCAGACCUGGAGCUUCCAGACCACAGCUGAGGUCUAAAUCCAACCUGAUCCCAGGCA